AGUGAACGCUGGCGGUAGGCCUAACACAUGCAAGUCGAACGGCAGCACAGUAAGAGCUUGCUCUUACGGGUGGCGAGUGGCGGACGGGUGAGGAAUACAUCGGAAUCUACUUUUUCGUGGGGGAUAACGUAGGGAAACUUACGCUAAUACCGCAUACGACCUACGGGUGAAAGCAGGGGAUCUUCGGACCUUGCGCGAUUGAAUGAGCCGAUGUCGGAUUAGCUAGUUGGCGGGGUAAAGGCCCACCAAGGCGCCGAUCCGUAGCUGGUCUGAGAGGAUGAUCAGCCACACUGGAACUGAGACACGGUCCAGACUCCUACGGGAGGCAGCAGUGGGGAAUAUUGGACAAUGGGCGCAAGCCUGAUCCAGCCAUACCGCGUGGGUGAAGAAGGCCUUCGGGUUGUAAAGCCCUUUUGUUGGGAAAGAAAAGCAGCAGGUUAAUACCCCGCCGUUCUGACGGUACCCAAAGAAUAAGCACCGGCUAACUUCGUG
rnacentral:rRNA from 1 species